UCAGACCUGGACUGGGAUGGACAAGGGAGGUCUCCAGGAGGAGGAGCAUUGGAGGAGAUUCUGGAGAGUGAGAAGCAGUGAGUCCAGCCAGCAGGGGAGGGAAAGAGACGAGGAAACAAUGUGUCCAUGGCACAGGCCAGGGCAUGAGAAGAGGGCAGUGGAUUGGAAGGACCGCUGGGAUGAGUAAUACCUGAGGAGCGUCCAUCCAUCAGAAGCUGAGCGCAGCCUCACCGGAAGCUGUGGAUGAAACCGGUGCCCAGCUGCGCAGAGUAAAGCGCCUGGCGCCAGGACGCAGGAGAGGCGUGUAGGAGAUGCGCCAGAUGCGGCGGCGGGCGAACCUUCACGGGACGUUUCUUAGCGCAGGUUCACCUGUGUCUGCGUUUCCUCCAACAUGCUCUUUGAUAUUCUCAUACAAAUCUCAUGAUUUUCUCCUGUGUCUCAGAGCGUAACAAGUAUUUUGAUGUCUUGUCACCUGUGCUCGUUUUCAUUAUAUAUGUAGCAAUGGUUGCUUACUUAAGUUUCUUACUGGUGGGUUAUUCAUAAAGUAUUUCCCAGCUGAGUAAAAAAUGAAAUUAUCUACUUUAAUAAGCCUUUGGUUGAUCAUUUCUGAAGAUUACUGUCUACUUAUUUCACGAGGGUAUCACCCCUGCAUGCCUUAAGCAAAGAUUCUAUUUGGGGUUGUGUUUUCCUUCUUAAAUUCGGAUACUUCUGUGUUCUGGAAAGUGUUACGUAAUUAAUAUUCAUUUGAAAAAUUCAGUUGGCAUAUCUGUUACUUUGCUUUUACUAUCUUUGCAGUCUCAUAUGUUUUCUUCUGCUUACUUUGUAUUUAAUUUGUUCUUCUUUUCUAGGAUCCUAAGAUGGAAACUUAGAUUAUUGUUUUAGAUUUUUUCUUUUUCAAUAUAUGUGAAGUAUAUCUUAUAUCUUUUAAUUUAAUUUAUACGUAUCUUUUUAAAAUUAAAAGUGGGUGUCUUGUAGACAACAACACAUAGUUUUUUAAUUUGCCGUUUGUGUCUUUUAAUUGGUGCACUUAGACCAGAGACGUUCAUAGUGAUUGUUGAUACAAUUGCAUUAAUACCAACCAUAUUUCUUACUGUUUUAUAUUUGCUGUUCUUGUUCUUUGUUUAUAUUUUUGUAUUCUACUCUUUCUGCAUUGUGUGAUUUCAAUUGAAUAUUUUAUAUUCCAUUCUUAUCCUUUAUUAGCAUAUCAGCAAUAAACUUUUUAAAGUAAUUUCUCUA
rnacentral:lncRNA from 10 species